rnacentral:RNase_P_RNA from 1 species
CGAGUCGGUCAGGCGAUCGCUCUCCACCUGGUGGAGGGAGGAAAGUCCGGGCUCCACAGGGCAGGGUGCCAGGUAACGCCUGGGGGGCGAAAGCCCACGGAAAGUGCAACAGAAAGUAUACCGCCUGCCUCGGCAGGUAAGGGUGAAAUGGUGCGGUAAGAGCGCACCGCGCGGCUGGUAACAGGCGCGGCGAUGGUAAACCCCACCCGGAGCAAGACCAAAUAGGAAUCCUUCAGCCGUGGCCCGCGGUGGAUUCGGGUAGGUCGCUUCAGGCAACCGGCGACGGUUGUCGCAGAUGAAUGGUCGCCCACGACAGAACCCGGCUUAUCGACCGGCUCACUGA